UACGGAGGGUGCAAGCGUUAUCCGGAUUUACUGGGUUUAAAGGGUGCGUAGGUGGGUCUGUAAGUCAGUGGUGAAAUCUCCGAGCUUAACUCGGAAACUGCCAUUGAUACUAUAGAUCUUGAAUUAUCUGGAGGUAAGCGGAAUAUGUCAUGUAGCGGUGAAAUGCUUAGAUAUGACAUAGAACACCAAUUGCGAAGGCAGCUUACUACGGAUCGAUUGACACUGAGGCACGAAAGCG
rnacentral:rRNA from 1 species